GACGAACGCUGGCGGCGUGCUUAACACAUGCAAGUCGAACGGAAAGGCCCUGCUUUUGUGGGGUGCUCGAGUGGCGAACGGGUGAGUAACACGUGAGUAACCUGCCCUUGACUUUGGGAUAACUUCAGUAAACUGGGGCUCAUACCGGAUAUGAGCUCCUGCUGCAUGGUGUGGGUUGGAAAGUUUCGGCGGUUGGUGAUGGACGCGCGGCUUAUCAGCUUGUUGGUGGGGUAGUGGCUUACCAAGGCUUUGACGGGUAGCCAGACUGCGAGGGUGACCGGCCACAUUGGGACUGAGAUACGGCCAAGACGGCUACGGGAGGCAGCAGUGGGGAAUAUUGCAAAAUGGGCGGAAGCCUGAUGCAGCAACGCCGCGUGCGGGAUGACGGCCUUCGGGUUGGAAACCGCUUUCGCCUGUGACGAAGCGUGAGUGACGGUAAUGGGUAAAGAAGCACCGGCUAACUACGUG
rnacentral:rRNA from 1 species